UGGCCACAGACUCCAGGGCCCCAAAGGUGAAAUGUGAGGACAGAGCUCUAGACAUGACCUCACCUGACGGACAUAAGAUGAGGAAAUUAAAGCACAGGGAGGUCAGAAGCUAACAUUUUCCAACUUGGGCAGCUGAAGCAAGAGGACACCCAUCUGAAGGGCCUGUGAAAGACCAUCCCCCAUGCUUCCCCACACAAGUUGUUGGUUUGUGCCUGCAGCUACUCCGGGCUCCAAAGAAGACAAGAAUCUCCCCUCCAGCACCUGCAAGAAAAGACCAAGCCCAACAGAUCUCCCCACGCCCAGGAGGUGCCCACGCUCUGCUCUGCUCCCUUACCACCUCCAGGAGCAAGGUGAUGGAGAGGCAGGAAGGAACCCUGGCAGUUGUUUUGUCCACAGUUAUGGAACAGCUCCUGAGAUGUGGAGGAUCCUGCUCGUUCUGGUUUUCACCACCUGCAGCAAGCGGACAUGAACCCACAACAUCCUUAACUACAUUCCAAUCCAACCAAAACACAAGCACUAAUCAUAUGGUUACAAAGUCCUUCGGCUGCUUCAGAUGGAAAGAUUUAUGUCCUUAAAGACUUGGCCAGCCCAUUAUUGCUCAUUCAUUGUGUUUGCCUACAAGUUAUGACUGCUCUUUCCAUUUAAUUUUUAAUGUGGCCUUGCCUCACUAAGCUCCAGGAAAAUUGUAAAGGCACUGGCUGUUGCUGUGGAUCUAUAAUCUCUUGGCAAAAGCAGUGUGGGCAAGCAGAGUCCCUCCCCAUUGCACAACAGUUCACAGCACCACACUCUGACCCUUAUGCAAGAACCAUGUUUUUCUUCAAAGCAACUGUGCAGUGCUCCAGUCAGAUGCUUGAGCCAGAGAAAAGAGUAAAA